rnacentral:pre_miRNA from 1 species
AUACAGGAAAUUAUUUAACGAGUGCGCAUUAAAUAAAUAAUGCGCACUCGUUAAAUAAUUUCCUGU